rnacentral:rRNA from 1 species
UACGUAGGGGGCUAGCGUUGUCCGGAAUCAUUGGGCGUAAAGCGCGUGUAGGCGGUUCGGUAAGUCCGCUGUGAAAGUCGGGGGCUCAACCCUCGAAUGCCGGUGGAUACUGUCGGACUAGAGUACGGAAGAGGCGAGUGGAAUUCCUGGUGUAGCGGUGAAAUGCGUAGAGAUCGGAAAGAACACCAACGGCGAAAGCACUCUGCUGGGCCGACACUGACACUGAGAGACGAAAGCUAGGGGAGCGAAUGGG